AAUCAACGCUGGCGGCGUGCCUAAUACAUGCAAGUCGAACGCGAAAGUCCCGCAAGGGAUGAGUAGAGUGGCAAACGGGUGAGUAACGCGUGGGUGACCUGCCUUCGAGUGGGGAUAACGUUUCGAAGGAACGCUAAUACCGCAUGACAUCCUGUCUUUUAACUAGACGGAGAUCAAAGCCGGGGAUCGCAAGACCUGGCGCUUGAAGAGGGGCCCGCGUCCGAUUAGCUAGUUGGUGGGGAAUGGCUCACCAAGGCAUCGAUCGGUAGCCGGCCUGAGAGGGCGGACGGCCACACUGGGACUGAGACACGGCCCAGACUCCUACGGGAGGCAGCAGUAGGGAAUUGUUCGCAAUGGGCGCAAGCCUGACGACGCAACGCCGCGUGGAGGAUGAAGACCCUUC
rnacentral:rRNA from 1 species